GGAAAAGGUCGUAAAGUUCACCAAAGUCAGUCCAGAUAUUUAGAGAAUAUUUGAACAAGAGAGGAAAAUGAAGCUGAUUUUCUUUCUUCUUGUCCUCUUGAAAAGCGGAAUAAAUUCAACCGAAGGACUCCAUGUGCUUUAUUCAUCAGAGAGAAUUAUUUUAAAAUAUUUCUUUAACCCAGCCUUUCAAAGUCAUGAAAUAUCUUGCUGUAAGUUCAGUCAGUCACUCUGCUUCUUCUUUGUGAAUAAUAGAAGACAAGUUGCCUCCAUGUAUCGAGGAAGAAUAUUUGUCACAAAUAACAAUGGAGAAUUUGAAGUAAUAAUUACAAAUCUGAGUGUAAUGGAUGCUGGCAUGUACAGAUGUGGUUUCAGUGGGUUCCCUAAGACCUAUGAGUAUGUGGAAGUUACCGUUUCUGAUCUAAGUGGAGUAAACACAGCUCCUCUCUGGCCAAAAUCCGUCAUUAUACCAACAGUCAGCCCGUCUUAUUCUCCCUCUGCACCCAUUGCUUCUGAGAAUGAUGCAGAGACACUCAGGAGCAGGACGGCAUUAUCUACUCUAUGGUGGAGUUUGAGCCCCACCAGGAUCCAUAUGAACUUUAUGCCAAUUUGCAGCUAUACAGCCCAAAAGAUGCUAAUGCUUCUUCAAGCUGUACAGUCACAGUAAAGGAAACCGUAGAAUAUUCCACUAUUAUGAGAUCAUCAGCAUAGACAUUUGCAAUGUUUGUGUUCAAUGUAUUCAUUGCUAUGAUUUGUUUUUGUUGUUGUUGCUUUUGUUUGCUUGAGGGAUUUGUUUCUUACAAGAUUUUUUUAACUAUAUUUUUAAUGCAACAUUGUACUGAUACUGUAGUAAUUAUUUUAUUCUUGAAAAUGUCAUUAUGAUGAUUAAUGCCUGAAAAUUUCUAUAUAGUAAAAUGUGUAUUAUCUAAAAAUUAGUUACUUUUAACUCUUAAACAAUUUAUGUAUUUUGACUCAUGUGGGUGUUUGACUUAGAAAGACAUAGAAACACACAGGAUGACAAUUUGUGAUGCAGUAAUUAUAAUUUUAUUUUGGAUGAACAGAGAACCUUUCAAUCAUGAAUCUCUAUUUAGAUGUCGAAAUAGGUGAAAACCAGUUUUUGCAAUCCAGUGCUUCUUUAGGCAGCAAAAUGUAGGCCCAUCAGAAUCUACUAAUUCUGUUUGAGCGAGACAACAUAAACAUAUGUGGUGACAGAUGUUGUAUGUGAUGUAUUAUGUUAGUAUCGAAUGGGAUUUAAGGGAUACUGGGAUAAUCAAGGACACUCAAAUGAAUCAAGACUACCAGUUUACAAAAACCAUAUCAAAUAAAUUCAGCAAUGAGAUUUUAUGGCACCCUUACUUUGUCUUCAUCGAGGUCCUAGGUAGGCAGAUUGUUGACCUGUCCAUGUUGAUCUGCCAGCAGGUCUCAGAGGUGAAGAGAAUCCAUUGCAUUUACUACAGACUUCAGAGGAACAAUCUUUCUUGUCAUUUUUUUUUAAUUCUAUGAACUGAAACUAGAUUGAAAAAAGAUUGAACUGGUCAUAUAGAACAGUUAUAGACUAUUAAACAGAAGUGAAACUUAAAAAGGGGGGAUCAAAUAGUCAUCUUUUCGUCAUACAUCGUUGACU
ensembl:lncRNA